UUUUAAAUUGAGAGUUUGAUCCUGGCUCAGGACGAACGCUGGCGGCGUGCCUAACACAUGCAAGUCGAGCGAUGA
rnacentral:rRNA from 1 species